rnacentral:misc_RNA from 1 species
CUUUGGAUGUGGGGGUUGCUGGCUUUCACAAGUCAGCUCUCCUUAAAUACAUUAGUGGUUACUGUUCAUCCACUUCCUGGUGUGAUAAUUAUCUACGCCUAGUGGUGAUGUCAAGUGUAGCAGCUUUCUAACUGUCCAUGCAAUGUGGUCAACUUGAACCCUUUGACCUCAAAUCAGGUAGGACUACCCGCUGAACUUAA